UACGUAGGCAGCGAGCGUUGUUCGGAGUUACUGGGCGUAAAGGGUGCGUAGGCGGUUGUUUAAGUUUGGUGUGAAAUCUCCCGGCUCAACUGGGAGGGUGCGCCGAAUACUGAAUGACUAGAGUGCGGGAGAGGAGAGUGGAAUUCCUGGUGUAGCGGUGAAAUGCGUAGAUAUCAGGAGGAACACCGGUGGUGUAGACGGCUCUCUGGACCGAUACUGACGCUGAGGCGCGAAAGCGUGGGGAGCAAACAGG
rnacentral:rRNA from 1 species